rnacentral:rRNA from 1 species
AGUGGGGAAUAUUGCGCAAUGGGGGAAACCCUGACGCAGCAAUACCGCGUGAAUGAAGAAGGUCUUCGGAUCGUAAAGUUCUGUCGAAGGGGAAGAAAUAAAUGACGGUACCCUUAGAGGAAGCCCCGGCUAACUACGUGCCAGCAGCCGCGGUAAUACGUAGGGGGCAAGCGUUGUCCGGAUUUACUGGGCGUAAAGGGCGUGUAGGCGGUUUUUUAAGUCAGAUGUGAAAGUUCGGGGCUCAACCCCGGAAUUGCAUUUGAAACUGGAGAACUUGAGUACUGGAGAGGUAAGUGGAAUUCCUAGUGUAGCGGUGAAAUGCGUAGAUAUUAGGAGGAACACCAGUGGCGAAGGCGACUUACUGGACAGAUACUGACGCUGAGGCGCGAAAGCGUGGGGAGCGAACAGGAUUAGAUACCCUGGUAGUCCACGCCGUAAACGAUGAGUGCUAGGUGUUGGGACAACUCAGUGCCGUAGUUAACACAAUAAGCACUCCGCCUGGGGAGUACGAUCGCAAGAUUG